AGUUGGAUAGCUGGGUCAAAUGGUGGCUCCAUUCCCAGUUUUCCAGGAAUCUCCAUACUGCUUUCCAUAUUGGUUGCACCAAUUUGCAGUCCCACCAGCAAU
rnacentral:pre_miRNA from 1 species